rnacentral:misc_RNA from 1 species
AACGCAUAUUGCGCUCUUUGGUAUUCCGAAGAGCAUGCUUGUUUGAGUAUCAGUAAACACCUCAACCAGAUUCUUUUCUGGAUGGACUUGAGCAAACCCAACGUUGGCCUCUCCCGAGAGGGCGGCGGCGGGUUGCUUGAAAUGCAGGUGCAGCUGUGACAAGAACAGACUGAGCUAAAAGCAUAUCUAAUUUAGUCCGCCUGGCGGAUUAUCUCUAUUUGCUGCAGUUCAACCAAAAGUCUCCUUGUCGAGCUGACUGAUGCAGGAUUUGUCAGACUUUCUUUUUCUCUCUGAGAAAAGGGCUUCUUUCAAAACUCGAUCUCAAAUCAAGUAAGACUACCCGCUGAACUUAA